rnacentral:rRNA from 1 species
AAUCCAUAGGUUAAUGAGGCGAACCGGGGGAACUGAAACAUCUAAGUACCCCGAGGAAAAGAAAUCAACCGAGAUUCCCCCAGUAGCGGCGAGCGAACGGGGAGGAGCCCAGAGCCUGAAUCAGCAUGUGUGUUAGUGGAAGCGUCUGGAAAGGCGCGCGAUACAGGGUGACAGCCCCGUACACAAAAGCGCAUGUGCUGUGAGCUCGAUGAGUAGGGCGGGACACGUGGUAUCCUGUCUGAAUAUGGGGGGACCAUCCUCCAAGGCUAAAUACUCCUGACUGACCGAUAGUGAACCAGUACCGUGAGGGAAAGGCGAAAAGAACCCCGGCGAGGGGAGUGAAAAAGAACCUGAAACCGUGUACGUACAAGCAGUGGGAGCCCCACCACCAAAGCAUUCUCUGGUGUUGAAGGCCCUGCAAAGCAGCAUCGCGGUGGCGGAGCGUCGUUUGCGACGCCCAACACACAAAACAAGCGGUGAGUGCUUUGGGGUGGGGUGACUGCGUACCUUUUGUAUAAUGGGUCAGCGACUUAUAUUCUGUAGCAAGGUUAACCGAAUAGGGGAGCCGGAGGGAAACCGAGUCUUAAUUGGGCGUUAAGUUGCAGGGUAUAGACCCGAAACCCGGUGAUCUAGCCAUGGGCAGGUUGAAGGUUGGGUAACACUAACUGGAGGACCGAACCGACUAAUGUUGAAAAAUUAGCGGAUGACCUGUGGCUGGGGGUGAAAGGCCAAUCAAACCGGGAGAUAGCUGGUUCUCCCCGAAAGCUAUUUAGGUAGCGCCUCGUGAAUUCAUCUCCGGGGGUAGAGCACUGUUUCGGCUAGGGGGCCAUCCCGGCUUACCAACCCGAUGCAAACUGCGAAUACCGGAGAAUGUUAUCACGGGAGACACACGGCGGGUGCUAACGUCCGUCGUGAAGAGGGAAACAACCCAGACCGCCAGCUAAGGUCCCAAAGUCAUGGUUAAGUGGGAAACGAUGUGGGAAGGCCCAGACAGCCAGGAUGUUGGCUUAGAAGCAGCCAUCAUUUAAAGAAAGCGUAAUAGCUCACUGGUCGAGUCGGCCUGCGCGGAAGAUGUAACGGGGCUAAACCAUGCACCGAAGCUGCGGCAGCGAACGUAUCACUUAAAGCGAUUCAGCGGGUUACGAUUGACGGAGCGAAGCGACGUCAAAGCGUAUACAAAGUCGAGUCGGUUUAAGGAUACGUUCGUUGGGUAGGGGAGCGUUCUGUAAGCCUGUGAAGGUGUGUCGUGAGGCAUGCUGGAGGUAUCAGAAGUGCGAAUGCUGACAUAAGUAACGAUAAAGCGGGUGAAAAGCCCGCUCGCCGGAAGACCAAGGGUUCCUGUCCAACGUUAAUCGGGGCAGGGUGAGUCGACCCCUAAGGCGAGGCCGAAAGGCGUAGUCGAUGGGAAACGGGUUAAUAUUCCCGUACUUGGUGUUACUGCGAAGGGGGGACGGAGAAGGCUAUGUUGGCCGGGCGACGGUUGUCCCGGUUUAAGCGUGUAGGUGUGUGUUCCAGGUAAAUCCGGUUCACUUUAACACUGAGGCGUGAUGACGAGGCACUACGGUGCUGAAGCAACAAAUGCCCUGCUUCCAGGAAAAGCCUCUAAGCAUCAGGUAACAUCAAAUCGUACCCCAAACCGACACAGGUGGUCAGGUAGAGAAUACCAAGGCGCUUGAGAGAACUCGGGUGAAGGAACUAGGCAAAAUGGUGCCGUAACUUCGGGAGAAGGCACGCUGACAUGUAGGUGAAGUGAUUUACUCAUGGAGCUGAAGUCAGUCGAAGAUACCAGCUGGCUGCAACUGUUUAUUAAAAACACAGCACUGUGCAAACACGAAAGUGGACGUAUACGGUGUGACGCCUGCCCGGUGCCGGAAGGUUAAUUGAUGGGGUCAGCGCAAGCGAAGCUCCUGAUCGAAGCCCCGGUAAACGGCGGCCGUAACUAUAACGGUCCUAAGGUAGCGAAAUUCCUUGUCGGGUAAGUUCCGACCUGCACGAAUGGCGUAAUGAUGGCCAGGCUGUCUCCACCCGAGACUCAGUGAAAUUGAACUCGCUGUGAAGAUGCAGUGUACCCGCGGCAAGACGGAAAGACCCCGUGAACCUUUACUAUAGCUUGACACUGAACAUUGAGCCUUGAUGUGUAG